UCUGUGCAGAGUGACUAUUUCAGAUGUCAUUGCAAGGGGUGCUUUCUACUGUUGUCAUAAAGGUGUGAUGGGAGGAGGGUUCAGGGCAGAGUCCCACCAUGUGAGAGAGGCAAAAAGAAGCAGAUACCCAACCUUGCCAAUUGAGAUGGAGACUGAGUUGUUCUUCUGUUGGAUUUAGUACCAAGGGAAAAGAAGUCACAAGUUAGUCUACUGCCCUCAUGUGAUGGAAAGCGAGCGAGAGUGAUGGGACUGCGAGAAUUAUUGAUGCCUUGAAAAAGCUGUCCAACUGGGAAUGGAACAGUCGUCACUGUCAAUGAGAUAAGUGUCUGUUUUGGUGAUUGCUCUGCUCAUGGCCCACCUUCCUCCUGAUAGGGAUGCCCCGUUUGCUGAGGCUGUGUUUGUAAGAAAAGGUUCCUGACUAGUGGUUAUGAGGGAGACGAGGUCCCCAUUUUUAGGGGCUGCUCAGUUUUCUGGCCAGGAGCAGUGUGUCCUACGCAGCAGAAGGUUGCAUGUAGGGGAAUGAGUUCAGUUUGCAGAGGAAUUGUCCAGGAGCCCUCGCUGGAGGAGAAUAUGCAGAAGUGGAUCUGAGCAGCCCGGACAUCCUUCUAAGGAGACAUGAAUAGUCCUCAGGUUUCUGCAUAACUGGUUCAACGGAAAAAAUCAUGGGUAAGAGUCCGCCCCAGUUGUGAGAUGGAAAGUGCAAAAGAGCCAUGAGACGUGAGCAUUGUUGAUUCCAGGCUAUGCAGAUGCUGUCAAGCUGAGAGUGGAGCAGCCAUCACCAUCACUGGGACAAGUGUCUGGUUUGGGGAGGACUCUGGU